CUAGCUUUGAUAGCGUUCUUCGAAAAAUGGUGAGUAAAUUGUGCCCCGUCAAUGGUUGUUAAACUCAGAGUAAUCAAGUAAAUAGCUCUGCAACGCGCUUCAAUCCAUAAAGGACAAUUUCGAUGAAUCGUGCUCCAAAAACCAGAGUAUUCCUCAACCUCUGACAACUUUUGAGUACUAAUCCAGUUAGGAAGACAAGCUUUCUUCCAAGAUUGAAUAUCAUGUGUUCCAUUUUGGGCUCACCGUUUAUGUUACCAUCCACUGAUAUCUAAAAGAAUAAUACCACACAGUAGCUUGAAUCUGAUUGAGGUGAUGGGCCAUACACCAGCUUAUAUUUCUUUGGAUUGGGAAAGACAUGCUCGUUCUAAGGAUCAGUCGCGUGGAUUGAAACAAAUGGUAAUUACCAUUGACUCACAAAUGUUUCUAUCCAUUCUGAGAUGGAAACCCCAGAGCUUGAUCUCAACCUCAAGGAUAACGGUUUGGUGAGCCAUGAAGACGCAGUACAAUUGAAUACAAGCACGGACUCCACACCACGUAGCCAAAAACCGAUAGAAUUCAUAGGCCUUAAACUGAUUUUGCUUCAGAUGAGACAACUUAACUUCAUUGAGACUUCAUUGGGAUUGUGGCGAUGUUUACUUAAUUAAUGAUGAAUCAUGAAUCUGAAUUAAUGAAUUAUCAUUAUUUUAAUAUCAUGAACUAAAUUUCAAAAACGUCCAUGACAAUAUAUGAAUCUGUCUGAACAGAAUG